rnacentral:rRNA from 1 species
UACGUAGGGUGCAAGCGUUAUCCGGAAUUAUUGGGCGUAAAGAGCUCGUAGGCGGUCUGUCGCGUCGGGCUGUGAAAACUCGGGGCUCAACUCCGAGCUUGCAGUCGAUACGGGCAGACUAGAGUUCGGCAGGGGAGACUGGAAUUCCUGGUGUAGCGGUGAAAUGCGCAGAGUAUCAGGAGGAACACCGAUGGCGAAGGCAGGUCUCUGGGCAUUAACUGACGCUGAGGAGCGAAAAGCAUGGGGGAGCGAACAGG